CGGGCUGUAGCGCAGCUUGGUAGCGCACUUGUCUGGGGGACAAGGGGUCGUGGGUUCAAAUCCCGCCAGCCCGA
rnacentral:tRNA from 3 species